GGGAGACUGGGUAGGUUGGGUUGAAUGAUUUGAUCAUUUAGUCACUUAAAUAAUCUAACCUUAUCCGUCCGAUAG
rnacentral:miRNA from 1 species